CCGUUCACCGACAGCAGCUGGUCCCCACGCUUGAGGCCUCCAUGCCGGUCCGCCACACCUCCGGGGAUGACUCGAGAGAUGUAGAUGGAUGGAAACUAAGCCUGGAGGGAACUGAGAGCCACCAGGCAGUGACAAGAAACAGCAUCUAAGUGCAGUGCAGUAAGAGUUCCUUAGGACAGUCUGUUGUAUAGACAUUUACGAUUAUUUUCUAGACAGUCCUGAGAUGUUGAUUUCCAUUCACCUAUUAUGUGACAUUUCAGUUUAAAAUGUGUGGUUAUUUAAAGGAAGUUAUAAAUAAAGACUUAUAAGGGUU